UUUACGGAGAGUUUGAUCCUGGCUCAGGAUGAACGCUGGCGGCGUGCUUAACACAUGCAAGUCGAACGGUGAAGCUGGAGCUUGCUCUGGUGGAUCAGUGGCGAACGGGUGAGUAACACGUGAGCAAUCUGCCCCUGACUCUGGGAUAAGCGCUGGAAACGGUGUCUAAUACUGGAUAUGAGCUAUGACCGCAUGGUUGUGGUUGGAAAGAUUUUUCGGUUGGGGAUGGGCUCGCGGCCUAUCAGCUUGUUGGUGAGGUAAUGGCUCACCAAGGCGUCGACGGGUAGCCGGCCUGAGAGGGUGACCGGCCACACUGGGACUGAGACACGGCCCAGACUCCUACGGGAGGCAGCAGUGGGGAAUAUUGCACAAUGGGCGGAAGCCUGAUGCAGCAACGCCGCGUGAGGGAUGACGGCCUUCGGGUUGUAAACCUCUUUUAGCAGGGAAGAAGCGUGAGUGACGGUACCUGCAGAAAAAGCACCGGCUAACUACGUGCCAGCAGCCGCGGUAAUACGUAGGGUGCAAGCGUUAUCCGGAAUUAUUGGGCGUAAAGAGCUCGUAGGCGGUUUGUCGCGUCUGCUGUGAAAUCCCGAGGCUCAACCUCGGGCCUGCAGUGGGUACGGGCAGACUAGAGUGCGGUAGGGGAGAUUGGAAUUCCUGGUGUAGCGGUGGAAUGCGCAGAUAUCAGGAGGAACACCGAUGGCGAAGGCAGAUCUCUGGGCCGUAACUGACGCUGAGGAGCGAAAGGGUGGGGAGCAAACAGGCUUAGAUACCCUGGUAGUCCACCCCGUAAACGUUGGGAACUAGUUGUGGGGUCCAUUCCACGGAUUCCGUGACGCAGCUAACGCAUUAAGUUCCCCGCCUGGGGAGUACGGCCGCAAGGCUAAAACUCAAAGGAAUUGACGGGGACCCGCACAAGCGGCGGAGCAUGCGGAUUAAUUCGAUGCAACGCGAAGAACCUUACCAAGGCUUGACAUAUAGAGGAAACGGCUAGAGAUAGUCGCCCCGCAAGGUCUCUAUACAGGUGGUGCAUGGUUGUCGUCAGCUCGUGUCGUGAGAUGUUGGGUUAAGUCCCGCAACGAGCGCAACCCUCGUUCUAUGUUGCCAGCACGUUAUGGUGGGAACUCAUGGGAUACUGCCGGGGUCAACUCGGAGGAAGGUGGGGAUGACGUCAAAUCAUCAUGCCCCUUAUGUCUUGGGCUUCACGCAUGCUACAAUGGCCGGUACAAAGGGCUGCAAUACCGUGAGGUGGAGCGAAUCCCAAAAAGCCGGUCCCAGUUCGGAUUGAGGUCUGCAACUCGACCUCAUGAAGUCGGAGUCGCUAGUAAUCGCAGAUCAGCAACGCUGCGGUGAAUACGUUCCCGGGUCUUGUACACACCGCCCGUCAAGUCAUGAAAGUCGGUAACACCUGAAGCCGGUGGCCUAACCCUUGUGGAGGGAGCCGUCGAAGGUGGGAUCGGUAAUUAGGACUAAGUCGUAACAAGGUAGCCGUACCGGAAGGUGCGGCUGGAUCACCUCCUUUCUAAGGA
rnacentral:rRNA from 1 species